CAUAGUUCAUCCAGGGUGAAGUUUGGAGGAAAGAUCCAGCAGUCAGUGCUGGUGAAAUUUAAAGGAAAAAUUUUGGAGCUUUGUGGACCCCUGAUCACUGUGUGAAGAGAAUUGGAUUUGACUGUCCGACGACUGUGAUGAAAGCAGUUUCAGGUGACUGGCCCAGCAGAAGUGAGAAGAAUUUAUCUUCAGUAUAAACUUCAUCAUUCUACAGUGUCUCUUCAUUUGCCCAGGAGAAAGAAGUGCCCUGGCACCUCCCACAAUGUAUCUGUGGGCACAUGAUGCUCAAGCAACCAGUCGGGAAAGUGCUGCCUCCUAACUCAGCUUCCUGGAGACUCACGAGACAGUGAUGAUGCCAUGGCUCCAACGGACUGUGACUACCUGUCGGACACUGCUUUCUUUAUCCGAGUGUCACUUCCCUCUUAUCAGACUUUGUCCUUUCCUGGCAGAGGAAAUCAAGAUCCACAGUGGUGAGUCUUAACUCCUAAUCCAGGGUUCUAAACAUUUGUCUGUUGUAGCAUGAUAAAAACUUGGCUUAUUUUUUCUUUCUUUUUAUCUAUUUUCUUCUGUUUAUCUGUCUUCUCCUUCUGGCUUUCUUGAGUGUGGUUUAAGCCCCUGACUCUCUCCCUCAACUCCCUGUCUCCCACCACUGUUAGGGUUCUGGAGGAGCUCAGGGACACCAAAGGUAACAACCUGAGGGUGGGAAAGCUAACUGGAAAUAGGCUGGAUUUUUCCCCCACUCAUGUGGACUUCGGAGACACCGGAUAGCCCUUUGGUUUCUUCUCUGCCCCCUUCCCGAAAUGCAGUCCGCAGACUCCAUGAGACCACACGUCAGGGCAAGGACAUCUGAAGGGUCUCUUUCCCAAACACUGGUGAAGAUGCUUCAGCUCUUAUGUUGAGCAAAUUAUUUCAAUUUGCCCCAUCUGCCAGGAAUAUAAUUUUUAUAAAAAUGUAAGUGAGGCGACGAUGAGAGUCAGGUCUUUUAAAGAACCAGUGAAUUUUGUGUCUGUGUGUUUAUGCCUUUGAACCAUGGCUAAAAUUUUAAAAUGAAAAAUUAGAGAUCUUUCUCUAUUUGU